rnacentral:tRNA from 1 species
GUUUGAGUGGUGUAGUUGGAAGUCACACUAGUAUCACGUACUAGAGGUUCCGGUUCAAACCCGGACUCAGACA